AUACGUAGAAGAAAAAAAAAUCUGAAAAACUCUCUGUGUGGGAUUUUGGAACUCUCUCCCUCAUCUCAACUCCACCUUGAGUUGAAACAGAAGGAAAAGGAAAAAACUGAAAUUAAAUUCCUCAGAAAAUAUCUUCAAAAAUGGCGAAAUCCUUAAUAUAUUCACCGUUUCUGAGUAAUUCACUACCUUCUGUUUCUCGUCAUCAUAGUAGUAACCACCACAUAUUUCCUUUAUCCACUACAACACCUAGUCGCAAAUUCAACAGAAUCAAAUUCAGCUUACAAGAAAUUCCCCCAAUUCAUUCUGUUGAUUUUCAGGCAAUUUAUAAUAGAGCUGGAGGAUUAUUAUAUACACUUGCUGAUGCAGCUGUUGUUGCUGCUGAUUCAGCUACAACUAGUGUAGAUGCUUCUGGUUCUACUGAUGUUGCUGUUCAGAAAAGUGGUGGUUGGUUUGCUUUCAUUUCAGAUGCUAUGGAAGUUGUUCUCAAGGUCUUGAAGGAUGGACUGACAGCUGUACAUGUUCCCUACUCAUAUGGGUUUGCGAUUAUCUUGCUCACUGUACUUGUUAAGGCAGUCACUCUUCCAUUGACGAAGCAGCAGGUUGAGUCAACAUUGGCGAUGCAAAAUCUUCAGCCCAAGAUCAAAGCUAUUCAAGCAAGAUAUGCGGGCAAUCAGGAAAGAAUACAACUUGAGACAUCUCGCCUUUACAAGCAAGCUGGGGUUAAUCCACUGGCAGGGUGUUUCCCAACUUUGGCUACAAUACCGGUCUUUAUUGGGUUAUAUCAAGCUCUUUCAAAUGUAGCAAAUGAGGGAUUGCUGACUGAAGGGUUUUUUUGGAUUCCAUCUUUGGGGGGCCCUACCAGUAUUGCUGCUAGACAAAGUGGAUCUGGCAUUUCGUGGCUUUUUCCAUUUGUGGAUGGACAUCCACCAUUGGGCUGGUCCGAUACUGCAGCUUACCUGGUUUUACCCGUCCUCCUAGUCGCUUCUCAGUUUGUUUCUAUGGAGAUCAUGAAGCCUCCACAGUCAGACGAUCCCAAUAUGAAGAACACACAACUUAUUUUCAAGUUUCUUCCCCUUAUGAUUGGUUACUUCUCUUUAUCCGUCCCAUCAGGGUUGUCAAUUUACUGGUUUACGAACAACAUCCUCUCCACUGCACAACAAGUGUGGUUACGUAAGUUAGGUGGUGCAAAGCCUGCUGUAAGUGAGAAUGCAAGCGGAAUCAUUAGUGCAGGUCAAGCAAAAAGAUCGACAUCUCAACCAUCACGAGCCGGUGAAAGGUUUCGACAGUUGAAAGAAGAAGAGAAGAAAAAAGUGAACAAAGCUCUGCUAUCUGAGGACAAUCAAGUUUUGGACUCUGUGUCUGAUGCUGAUGACGUCUCUGACGAAGAGACAGACAGCAAGGAUGCUCUAGAAGAGGCAUUAGCUUCUAGUGGCAGUACACAGAUUCCCGAUUAUUCAGGUCCAAAGAAGAGCAAGCGAUCAAAGAGGAAGCGUACUGUGUGAACAUGUCAUGUAUGGUAUCCCUUCUUGUAGCUACUGCUUGAGCAAGAAAGGGAGUUGUGAAGUAAUAACAUGGUGAAACCGCAAGGAGGAGGGUUGCCAGGAUAAGGUAAUAGAAAUUUUGCUCAUUGGCGUUAGAAAUCCAGAGAUCGAACAUGAAAGAGAAACCUUCUGAGAAUAACUACACUUUCUAGUACUGCUGCAAAUUUUAAUGUAUUCAAUUCCACCUACUUCAAGAAGGUACUCUCCCGUUGGGCAAGGAAGACUGGUGUCACGUUAUCUUUCUAUGCUUUAGUAGCUUAUGAUUCUUGUUCGCUACUGUCUCCGUUCUGGAAAAGAGAUACUUUCACUUUUUCAAUUUGGACUACUUUUCCAGAAACGGAGGGAGGGAGUAUUACUUUGCACAAGCUUUAGAAUUGCCUGUUAAUGCAGUAGGGUUUUAAUCA